rnacentral:rRNA from 1 species
GCCAGCGGCCUUAGCACUUUGAAUGCACCAGUUCCCGAAGGGUCACUGAAGUUAAGCAACAUUGCGCGUGGUUGGUAUAUGGACGGGUGACCUUCUGAGCGUUAACAUUUGCGUCGCGACCU